CCACAACACACACUGCAUCUGGAAGCAGCUAUGAAAUGGGCAGUUCUAAAUUUUUCUUAGGAUGACCCCUGCAACACAUCUGUGAUAUAUUAUGUUCUGUCACCUUAUUAUAUAUAAAAAUUGACAGAAUCAGUUUAGUUUGUUUGAGUGAUAUUCUGCCAUAUUCUCUUAAUUUAGCCCCCCCCCCCAAAUAAGCCCCCUUUC